UACGAAGGGGGCUAGCGUUGCUCGGAAUCACUGGGCGUAAAGGGUGCGUAGGCGGGUUUUUAAGUCAGAGGUGAAAUCCUGGAGCUCAACUCCAGAACUGCCUUUGAUACUGAAAGUCUUGAGUAUGGGAGUGGUGAGUGGAACUGCGAGUGUAGAGGUGAAAUUCGUAGAUAUUCGGAAGAACACCAGUGGCGAAGGCGGCUCACUGGCCCGGUACUGACGCUGAGAUGCGAAAGCGUGGGGAGCAACAGG
rnacentral:rRNA from 1 species